GGGGUUGUGGCUCAAUGGUAGAGUGCUCACCUAGCAUGUGCGAGGUGCUGGGUUCGAUCCUUAGCACCACA
rnacentral:tRNA from 1 species